UCCUCCUGCCAGGUGGCUUCUCAGUUUGUCGUCCCAGGAAUCUGGAACGAAGUUUAGGAGGGCUGCGUCCCCUCCAAUCCCAGGGACAGGCCUUAGCAAGCCCUGAGUCCCGUUAAUAAAUCCUCCCCGUAACAGUGGCCUCUCUGGAGCCUGCUGGUGCCUGGCCGGGCGCAGAGGCCGCGCCGAGCUCUCACAAACUAAUGCAGGUCCUUGUGAAAAUGUUAGGGCAUCUAUUCUGUCUUCACUGCCCAGGAUUCUGGGGACAGUCGGGCUGUGGGCUUCUCCCCUUGAAAGGCCUGCAGUUUAAAGACAUGUCCACCAGGUGGCGCAAAGCCUCCUUUUCGUGCGGCUGUUGGAGCCCACUGUCUGUGGACAGUGUCUGUUCUGCGUGGGGGCGAGUCGGCCUUCUCUUACUAGGAUGUGAAUACAAAUCUCCAACCCAGGACUACCCGUGUGAAAUGACUUUUUCCUGUGUGUGGAGUCUAUACAUUUACCUCUGAAGCCCUUGAAACCAGGAGAAGCAGUUUCCUGCGAUGAGUCCUUGCAUCUGACUUCAAGUGCUCUGGGUUUGGCCGCUGCUGAAAUGAAAUCCACUUUUUCUACAGGAAGUGCGAAACUCCUGUGCGUUACAGGAAGUAAGAGCUUCCACAUAUUCUCUUGAGAAUAAUGAACACUUCCCGGAGGAAACAAUAUAACUUAAUAAAGUCAGUUUUUUUCAAUAAAGAACCAACUGCUUAAGAACACAUUCAGAGGGAAGAAGCAUUUGAGAUGAUUCACUUCACGAAUAAUUAAAAGCAAAUCAAAAACAAGAGUGGCUCAUCAGAUCAAUAACAGGGAACAGGCUCGAGUAUCUACUUGGGUCCGGUACUUUCGCUAACUUGGAAAUGUCUGUCAGCAGACAGGUGACAAUAUGCCAAGAGCGAACAACGGUGUGGAAGACUUUCACAAUGCAACCUGAAGCUCACUGACAAAUAUGCAUCCUACUAUUUGGAAACGGAUAUCUCCC